GAUGAACGCUGGCGGCGUGCCUAACACAUGCAAGUCGAGCGAUUUACUUCGGAGAAGAGCGGCGGACGGGUGAGUAACGCGUGGGUAACCUGCCCUGUACACACGGAUAACAUACCGAAAGGUAUGCUAAUACGAGAUAAUAUGCUUUUAUCGCAUGGUAGAAGUAUCAAAGCUUUUGCGGUACAGGAUGGACCCGCGUCUGAUUAGCUAGUUGGUAAGGUAACGGCUUACCAAGGCGACGAUCAGUAGCCGACCUGAGAGGGUGAUCGGCCACAUUGGAACUGAGACACGGUCCAAACUCCUACGGGAGGCAGCAGUGGGGAAUAUUGCACAAUGGGCGAAAGCCUGAUGCAGCAACGCCGCGUGAGCGAUGAAGGCCUUCGGGUCGUAAAGCUCUGUCCUCAAGGAAGAUAAUGACGGUACUUGAGGAGGAAGCCCCGGCUAACUACGUGCCAGCCGCCGCCGUAA
rnacentral:rRNA from 1 species